rnacentral:rRNA from 1 species
CCUACGGGUGGCAGCAGUGGGGAAUCUUCCGCAAUGGGCGAAAGCCUGACGGAGCAACGCCGCGUGAUCGAAUGAAGGCCUUCGGGUUGUAAAGAUCUGUUGACAGGGACGAAUAAGCAAUGCAAAUAGUUUUGUGUAUGACGGUACCUGUCGAAUAAGCCACGGCUAACUACGUGCCAGCAGCCGCGGUAAUACGUAGGUGGCAAGCGUUGUCAGGAUUUACUGGGUGUAAAGGGCGUGUAGCCGGGCUGACAAUUCAGAUGUGAAAUCCGGGGGCUCAACCCCCGAACUGCAUUUGAAACUGUUGGUCUUGAGUAUCGGAGAGGCAGGCGGAAUUCCUAGUGUAGCGGUGAAAUGCGUAGAUAUUAGGAGGAACACCAGUGGCGAAGGCGGCCUGCUGGACGACAACUGACGGUGAGGCGCGAAAGCGUGGGGAGCAAACAGGAUUAGAUACCCCAGUAGUC